AACGAACGCUGGCGGCAUGCCUAACACAUGCAAAUCGAACGAGACCUUCGGGUCUAGUGGCGCACGGGUGCGUAACGCGUGGGAACCUGCCCUUAGGUUCGGAAUAACUCCCCGAAAGGGGUGCUAAUACCGGAUAAUGUCUUCGGACCAAAGGUUUAUCGCCUUUGGAUGGGCCCGCGUUGGAUUAGCUAGUUGGUAGGGUAAAAGCCUACCAAGGCGACGAUCCAUAGCUGGUCUGAGAGGAUGAUCAGCCACACUGGGACUGAGACACGGCCCAGACUCCUACGGGAGGCAGCAGUGGGGAAUAUUGGACAAUGGGCGAAAGCCUGAUCCAGCAAUGCCGCGUGAGUGAUGAAGGCCUUAGGGUUGUAAAGCUCUUUUACCCGGGAUGAUAAUGACAGUACCGGGAGAAUAAGCUCCGGCUAACUCCGUG
rnacentral:rRNA from 1 species